rnacentral:lncRNA from 1 species
CACCCCGAUCCUCCUAAUAUAAAUGCUCACCAUCUAGGGUCCUCACCAUCCUCUGCCGACCCCCUCUCCACCGGCCAAACCCUAUCCCUAACCCAAACUAAUGAUGCCGACACCGACCAGAGACCCAACCUAGAUCUCAAGUUUAACUCAACCCUAUCGAAAAACUCAGGUCUAACCCAACCAUUCAGACUAACCCAAACUAAAAUUUGGACCCACAGAUUCUAACCCAAAACUAUUC